UACGUAGGGGGCAAGCGUUGUCCGGAUUUAUUGGGCGUAAAGAGCGUGUAGGCGGUUUGGUAGGUCCGCUGUGAAAACUCGAGGCUCAACCUCGAGACGCCGGUGGAAACCAUCAGACUAGAGUCCGGAAGAGGAGAGUGGAAUUCCUGGUGUAGCGGUGAAAUGCGUAGAGAUCGGGAAGAACAUCGGUGGCGAAGGCGGUCUGCUGGGCCGUUGCUGACGCUGAGGCGCGACAGCGUGGGGAGCAAACAGG
rnacentral:rRNA from 1 species